CUCGACUGUAGAUUCUCAGCUUGCAUCCCUGAUUUGUUUCACAGGCCACUUUGUGUGGAGUUGACAAGUCAAGGAUCUAUUGGUGGCUGCUGUAAACCAUGCAGACUCAUUGGCAGACAAAAGAAAUGAUUGGAGUCAUGAACAGUCUCCAAAUUGAGGUGAAGUUGUCAAGAGCCUAGAAGUGGGAAGGAGAAAUUACAGCCUCUGUUAUAAUGAGAGGCAUUACAUUUGCAUAUAUAUGUAAGGCUUCAUUGCCAC
rnacentral:lncRNA from 14 species